UACGGAGGAUGCAAGUGUUAUCCGGAAUCACUGGGCGUAAAGCGCGCGUAGGUGGUUUGUUAAGUCGGAUGUGAAAGCCCCGGGCUUAACCUGGGAACUGCAGCUGAUACUGCCAGACUAGAGUCUGUGAGAGGGUAGUGGAAUUCCUAGUGUAGCGGUGAAAUGCGUAGAUAUUAGGAGGAACAUCAGUGGCGAAGGCGACUGCCUGGCACAAGACUGACGCUGAGGUACGAAAGCGUGGGGAGCAAACAGG
rnacentral:rRNA from 1 species